GAACACAGCAAUUUGAUCUUAUAGAAAUACAAGAAAAGUCCACAUCCUCUGGCCCUGGAAAUUAUUUCAACAUAAUAUAUUCCCCACCAAAUAAUGCACUGUUAUGAGGUCUAGGUUUAAUGUAUUUCUGUGAGAAUCAGGUCAAAAUGUAACAUCAGGAAGUUCCCUUUAACACAAGGCCGGGAAAAACAACAUGUCAUUAACCAUUUAUCAGUGGAAUUUCCCCAGAUCCCCAUGUAGUUUUGUAUAGCUCUUUGUAACUGUGGGAGCUGUAGCUCUGGCCACGGGUUUUUCCUGUGUAAUGUCAUAUCAUUUGUUUGUUUUUGCUAUACAGGAUGUUAUAAGAUCAUGAGCGUUGACUCACUGCUGCAAAUGGAAACAGAUGAUGCAGACAGAGUUAUGCAUACAAGAAUAGUGAGUGUGAACAUUUGUCACUCCGCAGUAGUGAUGGGCAGACUAAUUCUUUUCGCAGUGUAUUUCCUUCGAGUUGAUACAUGAGAAUGUAUUGAACGACACCUGUCACGUCUGCAUUAUAUGCCACAGAACGGCGUCAAGUUGAAAUACUGUCAGUAAUGACAGAAUUUUAAAAGCACUUGGGUGGCUAUAGGGAGGGUGUGAGGGGCAGUGGAUGAGUUUAACAAAUCCCGUACGUAUAUGCAGGACUGUGGAGUUUGCUUCACUUUGGACUUUCAUGUGGAAGUCCGGUUUUGCUUUCCACCUGAAUGAGAUUUUUUUCCCACACCUUACCUCGUGCUUUUGUUGCCUAAACAUAACCACAUGCAGCAUAAUCCCACCAUGUCCUUGUGUUGACAUAAUGGUUGUGGCAUCCUGAAAUGUAAAGACCAGAUGCAAACUGAUACCUAGAGCAUAAUAUGUAGACGCUCAAGUCCAUUACAAAGUGGCAAUAUGUGAUGACUUGGGAUGAGAAUGUGUUGUACCAUCCACUAUGAGUGGCUACAUUUUAGCCUGUUUUGCUGCUGCGAGCUGCAGUGGUCUCUUUCAAGACUGGACUAGUAUCAAAAAUUGUUGUCUCCAUUCGUCACUCAAACACAAAAGCAUGGGAAAACAGGGAGUUCACUUUAAAUAUUUUUUGGGCUGUUUUCUUGGUGUUUAUUUGUAACGGUGAAGCACUUUGUCAUUCUGGAUUCAAAAAUGUCUGUCAUAUAAACAUUACACAUAAAGUUACAUUUAACUUUAGUGUCUUUACAGAUUCUUUGAACAGAGAUUCAGAUGUGCAGUAUUCUGCUAUCCAUAUAUCUGAAGACAGACACAGUCAGGGAGGACAUUUAGUGGAUUCAUCAAGACCUGCUGACGACGCCGAUCUAAAAACAGUCUAUUAUAAACUGGAGGCUCAUCGCAUGGUGCCAGUUUAUGCAAAUGCUGCCGAUAAUGGUUGAGAACAAACGAUGAACUGUCUACAUCAACAUGUUCUCACUCCUCAAGGCUCAGAAAUAGUUUCCACAUUGAACGUCAGCAGAGAGCUGUGGACUUUUAUGUCAUACGGACCAAAGCAGACCCACACAUGGACGCAGAUGCUAUGAACUGACCUUAACCCGUCAAAAAAAGCAGGCCACACUUGCUACUGGGUUUUGUUUUUGUUUUUACUUUUUGUCUGAAAUGGGACACAAACAGCGGUCUCCAGGGUGAAUCUCUGAUGUAUGUUUGACCAAUUCACCCCUCCCGUGCUUUAAGACUUGCUACUGUGUUAUUGCAGUAGUUAGAUGAAAGCCUAUGUGCCUUGUGUGUUGGUAACAGAAGCUGAGGGCCACUGACCGGACUGCCGUAUUUGACGCCCUGGGAAUGAGACCGGAUUUAGUAAUUCUCGAGAAAGGGGGAAAUUAUAAUGGUGUUGAUGCACAUAUCCACACUGUUUACAGGAAAUCCAAAGGACAGUUUAAUUCCAUUCAUUUUUAUUAUUUAUUCGAUUGUUUUUGUUGUUUACAUUUCUAUUUUUUUACUUAUUUUUUGACUCACAUUGUUACUAGCUUGCUGAAAUUUCAAGUGUUGUUGAACUUCCCAGCUGUUAAAGAUGCUGCAUCCGAAA